rnacentral:rRNA from 1 species
GGGGGGGGGGGGGGGGGGGGGGAGGACGGGCGGGUCGAGGGGGAGCACCGGGGGGGCUGGCUGUUGCGGGGGGCGGGGGGCGGGCGGGUGAGGAAUACAUCGGAAUCUACUUUUUCGAGGGGGAUAACGUAGGGGAACUUACUCUGAUCACGCAUCCGGCCUACUGGUGAACGGAGGGGAUCUUCGGGCCUGGCCGUGUUGACUGAGGCGAUGUCGGAUUAGCUAGUUGGCGGGGUAAAGUCCCACCAAGGCGACGAUCCGUAGCGGGUCUUAGAGGAUGAUCAGCCACACUGGAACUGGGACACGGUCCAGACUCCUACGGGAGGCAGCAGUGGGGAAUAUUGGACAAAGGGCGCAAGCCUGAUCCAGCCAUACCGCGUGGGUGAAGAAGGCCUUCGGGUUGUAAAGCCCUUUUGUUGGGAAAGAAAAGCAGCAGGUUAAUACCCCGCUGUUCUGACGGUACCCAAAGAAUAAGCACCGGCUAACUUCGUG